UUUUUGCGUUAAGGAUGGUAGUGACAUCCUUUUUUUUCUUCAAUAUAAGGCAAAAAAAGAUAUAACGAACAGCCUGUUAAAAC
rnacentral:sRNA from 1 species